GGACUACCAGGGUAUCUAAUCCUGUUUGCUCCCCACGCUUUCGUGCAACAGCGUCAGUACUUGGCCAGAUAGCCGCUUUCGCCUCCGGUAUUCCUCCUAAUAUCUACGAAUUUCACCUCUACACUAGGAAUUCUGCUAUCCUCUCCAAGACUCUAGUUAGGCAGUUUUAAAAGCAGUUCCAAGGUUGAGCCCUGGGAUUUCACUCUUAACUUACCUAACAGCCUACGCACGCUUUACGCCCAAUAAUUCCGAGUAACGCUAGCCCCCUUCGUAUUACCGCGGCUGCUGGCAC
rnacentral:rRNA from 1 species